rnacentral:rRNA from 1 species
GGCGGCAUGCCUAACACAUGCAAGUCGAACGAGACCUUCGGGUCUAGUGGCGCACGGUGCGUAACGCGUGGGAACCUGCCUUAGGGUUCGGAAUAACUCAGAGAAAUUUGAGCUAAUACCGGAUAAUGUCUUCGGACCAAAGAUUUAUCGCCUUUAGAUGGGCCCGCGUUGGAUUGGCUAGUUGGUGGGGUAAAGGCCUACCAAGGCGACGAUCCAUAGCUGGUCUGAGAGGAUGAUCAGCCACACUGGGACUGAGACACGGCCCAGACUCCUACGGGAGGCAGCAGUGGGGAAUAUUGGACAAUGGGGCGAAAGCCUGAUCCAGCAAUGCCGCGUGAGUGAUGAAGGCCUUAGGGUUGUAAAGCUCUUUUACCCGAGAUGAUAAUGACAGUAUCGGGAGAAUAAGCUCCGGCUAACUCCGUG